CCGGCCCCCACACACUGCCCCGGCUCCUGCAUUUCCGGAGAUGGAAACGUGGAGAGCAGCUGGGGAUGGCGCAUGAUUGCCUGAACCAUAUGAAGGCUGGCGCUGAUCUUGAAAAUGUGGGUUGGACUGCGUCACCCCGACCCCUGCCUCAAACCCCCUCCGUGGUUGCCUACAGCACAGCUUGAAGCCCCUGGGUUCUGCUUCCCGGGCCUGCAGCGCUGGCCCCAGCCUGGCCGAGCGAGCAUUUGUUCACCCAAGACCUUUCCCCUCCUGCCCUCUUGGAGCCUCCACAAGGAGUAAACAACCACUUCUGGUCCCUCAAAGCAUCAACUCUAUGCCUUGCAGACAGCGGACACGUAACACAGCCACGCGGCGUGAACAUGAGCAGACCUCUUUUUUCCAGGAUGUGCACGGUUUCCACGACAGUGCCCACUGCACGCCUUAUGGCCUCACCAGAGACGUAAAGCAGAUGCCAAGAAACUUCCCCCCAAAAUGGGCUGGCUUGCUAAGCCCAGGACCGCCUGUCCAGCUGGGGCUGGGGGCAAGGAUCCCAUUUUCUGUGACUCUUUUUGCUCUGAUGGUCAGGUUCACCGGCCGUACGUGUAAUCAGAAGCAUU